GACUUUUAGAAGUGGAUCACUAGGCUCCUGCGUCGAUGAACAACGCAGCUAGCUGUGAGAAUUAAUUUGAAUUGCCGGGAAUAGGGUGGGGGAGCACGUCCCAGUGGCCGUGGUUUACCGCCCGCCACUGGUGGCAGCCUGGCG
rnacentral:rRNA from 10 species